UAAGUGAUACAUAAUUAUAAUUUUUAAGAGCUAGCGCGCACCACGGUGAAUUUCCGUACGUUUUCCCCCCGCAAAAUCUGUGAACUAUAGAAUCAUAUAGAAGCGCGCGCACUGCGGAAUUAAUUCCGCACCGGAUUUUAGUUGAUUUAAAUUCAAAGGAUUUUUAAACGCACCGAAACA